GGCGUGGUGGCGGAGUGGUUAUCGCGCAAGACUAGAAAUCUUGUUCCCUCGGGAGCGUCAGUUCGAAUCUGGCCCACGUCG
rfam:Pyrenochaeta sp. DS3sAY3a unplaced genomic scaffold IQ07scaffold_15, whole genome shotgun sequence.